rnacentral:rRNA from 1 species
AUUGAACGCUGGCGGCAUGCCUUACACAUGCAAGUCGAACGGCAGCACGGGGGGUAACCCCUGGUGGCGAGUGGCGAACGGGUGAGUAAUAUAUCGGAACGUGUCCUGUAGCGGGGGAUAACCUAUCGAAAGAUGGACUAAUACCGCAUACGACCUACGGGUGAAAGCGGAGGACCGCAAGGCUUCGCACUAUAGGAGCGGCCGAUAUCGGAUUAGCUAGUUGGCGGGGUAACGGCCCACCAAGGCGACGAUCCGUAGCUGGUCUGAGAGGACGAUCAGCCGCACUGGAACUGAGACACGGUCCAGGCUCCGAGGGGAGGCAGCAGUGGGGAAUUUUGGACAAUGGGCGCAAGCCUGAUCCAGCCAUGCCGCGUGAGUGAAGAAGGCCUUCGGGUUGUAAAGCUCUUUCGGCGGGGACGAAACGGUUCGUGCUAAUACCACGGACUACUGACGGUACCCGCAGAAGAAGCACCGGCUAACUACGUG